AGAGAAAGCUGGCGGCAGGCCUAACACAUGCAAGUCGAACGAACCUUUCGGGGUUAGUGGCGGACGGGUGAGUAACACGUGGGAACGUGCCUUUAGGUUCGGAAUAACUCAGGGAAACUUGUGCUAAUACCGAAUGUGCCCUUCGGGGGAAAGAUUUAUCGCCUUUAGAGCGGCCCGCGUCUGAUUAGCUAGUUGGUUGAGGUAAUGGCUCACCAAGGCGACGAUCAGUAGCUGGUCUGAGAGGAUGAUCAGCCACAUUGGGACUGAGACACGGCCCAAACUCCUACGGGAGGCAGCAGUGGGGAAUCUUGCGCAAUGGGCGAAAGCCUGACGCAGCCAUGCCGCGUGAAUGAUGAAGGUCUUAGGAUUGUAAAAUUCUUUCACCGGGGACGAUAAUGACGGUACCCGGAGAAGAAGCCCCGGCUAACUUCGUG
rnacentral:rRNA from 1 species